GUAUUGGAAUUAUCAUCCAUGAUAUGAUGAUUCUGUUGUGACUUUUUGAUGGAUGGGUAGGUUAGCCGAGCCACACUCGGAUCUGAUCAUUCAUUAGUUAGAUGCACUGAGUAGAGGCAUCACACACCGACUGAUAAGAAAUCUGGGGCAAAACCUAUUGCUAGAAAUUAUUUAUAGAAAUAAUUGGUUAAUAACCUAUCC
rnacentral:lncRNA from 1 species